AGAGUUUGAUCCUGGCUCAGAACGAACGCUGGCGGCGUGGAUUAGGCAUGCAAGUCGAACGGAGAUUUUUUAUAGCAAUAUGAAAGGUCUUAGUGGCGUAAGGGCGAGUAACACGUGGGUAACGUACCUCGAUGCUGGGAAUACCCUCCCGAAAGGGAGGUUAAUACCGAAUGUGGUCAUGCGGCGCAAGCCGGAUGGCUAAAGGUGGGGAUCCGUAAGGACCUGCCGCAUUGAGAGCGACCCGCGUCCUAUCAGCUAGUUGGUGGGGUAAUGGCCUACCAAGGCGACGACGGGUAGCCGAGUUGAGAGACUGACCGGCCGCAUUGGGACUGAGACACUGCCCAGACUCCUACGGGAGGCUGCAGUCGAGAAUCUUUCGCAAUGGGGGAAACCCUGACGAAGCGACGCCGCGUGCGGGAAGAAGGCCUUCGGGUUGUAAACCGCUUUGAGCAGGGGCGAAGGCCGGGGCGUGAAUAGCGCCUUCGGUUUGACGGUACCUGCAGAACAAGCCACGGCUAACUCUGUGCCAGCAGCCGCGGUAAGACAGAGGUGGCAAGCGUUGUUCGGAUUUACUGGGCGUAAAGGGGGUCUAGGUGGUUCGUUAUGUCUUUCGUGAAAUCCCGGAGCUUAACUCCGGAACUGCGGGAGAAACUGGCGAACUUGAGCGCGUGAUACGUAAGCGGAAUACUGGGUGUAGCGGUGAAAUGCGUAGAUAUCCAGUAGAACACCUGCGGCGAAAGCGGCUUACGAGCGCGUUGCUGACACUGAAGCCCGAAAGCGUGGGGAUCAAACAGGAUUAGAUACCCUGGUAGUCCACGCUGUAAACGAUGUGCACUAGAUGUAGGGAGAAUCGACCCUUCCUGUGUCGUAGUUAACGCGUUAAGUGCACCGCCUGGGGAGUACGCCGGCAACGGUGAAACUCAAAGGAAUUGACGGGGACCCGCACAAGCGGUGGAGCAUGUUCUUUAAUACGACGCAACGCGUAGAACCUUACCCAGGCUUGGCAUGUAACUGCACGGCCGGUGAAAGCCGGUCUCCUUCGAGGGUGUUACACAGGUGUUGCAUGGCUGUCGUCAGCUCGUGCCGUGAGGUGUUGGGUUAAGUCCCGCAACGAGCGCAACCCUUGUCGAUAGUUGCCAUCAGCUCGGCUGGGCACUCUAUCGAGACCGCCGGUGACAAACCGGAGGAAGGUGGGGAUGACGUCAAGUCAGUACGGCCCUUAUGCCUGGGGCUAGAAACGUGCUACAAUGGCCGGUACAGAAGGCUGCGAACCCGCGAGGGUAAGCUAAUCCGCAAAAGCCGGCCCCAGUUCGGAUUGGAGUCUGCAAUUCGACUCCAUGAAGCCGGAAUCGCUAGUAAUGGCGCAUCAGCUACGGCGCCGUGAAUACGUUCCCGGGUCUUGUACACACCGCCCGUCACGUCAUGAAAGCUGGUUACACCCGAAGUCGUUUAUGCGCCGAAGGUGUGGCUGGUGAUUAGGACGAAGUCGUAACAAGGUAGCCGUUCCGGAAGGAGUG
rnacentral:rRNA from 1 species